rnacentral:rRNA from 1 species
GCGGAAUGCUUUACACAUGCAAGUCGAACGGCAGCACGGGGGCAACCCUGGUGGGGAGUGGCAGACGGGUGAGUAACACGUGGGAACGUAUCCUUUGGUUCGGAAUAACUUGGGGAAACUCAAGCUAAUACCGGAUAAGCCCUUAUGGGGAAAGGUUUACUGCCGAAGGAUCGGCCCGCUUCUGAUUAGCUAGUUGGUGAGGUAAUGGCUCACCAAGGCGACGAUCAGUAGCUGGUCUGAGAGGAUGAUCAGCCACACUGGGACUGAGACACGGCCCAGACUCCUACGGGAGGCAGCAGUGGGGAAUAUUGGACAAUGGGGGCAACCCUGAUCCAGCCAUGCCGCGUGAGUGAUGAAGGCCUUAGGGUUGUAAAGCUCUUUUACCCGGGACGAUAAUGACUGUACCGGGAGAAUAAGCCCCGGCUAACUUCGUGCCAGCCGCCGCCGUAA